AGCACUGGGUCAGCCGGUGAACGGGUGUGU
rnacentral:piRNA from 1 species